UCCAUCGCGAGGUGGAAUCUGAAGGAAGCCUACAGGCAAAGUCCUGCCCCGAGGAACACGAAUCACAUUAGGCACAAUCGGUGGGAUGAGACUGCCAAACAAGUCAAAGUCCAAAGAUUAUGCGGACACCGAAGUGUAAAUGUGGCGGGGACAUGGGAUGAAGGUUAUUUAU
rfam:Geofilum rubicundum JCM 15548 DNA, contig: JCM15548.contig00073.